CUGCCGAGCACCGCCACUCCUCUCCUCUCCUGGGCUGACCCCAAAUGGGUCUCCCAGCCACUGCAGUCCCCUGCUGCACAGACAGCUAGCUGCCAGAGCACCCCUUUCUCUCGGGUAGGGAUCACUUCCCCAGCCCGCCCACAUGCACUCAAACCCCUGCCCCGAACCAAUGAGCAGUACUGCUCCUUUCAUCCUCGGCUCGUCUGUCCGCAGCAGCCAGCAUGCGGUAGGUACUCCACAGAGGCGUUCUGAUUGGCUUCCAGAGCCUUCCCCGCAGGCGACCCAGCCGAGGGGUUUAUAUUUGAUCCUUAGAGGUCACAGAGCAGUGUCUAAUUUUAUCUGGUACCAAAGCGUGCCUCACUGAGAUCGGUCAUACUAGAACCCUGCCGGGGGGGAAGCCUGCUGGCUCACUGCAUUACCACAGGGAGCGAAGAGAGGAUGGUUAGACCGGCGACCACAGCUGAGUCAACUCCACCGGGGAGCUCCAGCUUCCUUCCGCCCUGACCCGUCCCCAGGAAGAGAUGGGGGCCUCCCGGACCACAGGCAGCAGGAACGUCCCAGCAAUCUGACUUAUGACCCCCACCACUCGCUGAAUCCCCCGUGACUUCUCCAUCAUCAGACCGGCAAGUCUUUUCUCUGCAUCUCUGCUGGACACCAUACUGCCGCCCAGCUUUGCUUCCUAGAGACCAUCUCUACUCUGGGUUUGUGGGACCGUCCUCCCUCCCGGUUCUCCUCCCCCCCUGGCUGAGCGCUCCCUCUCGGGCUCCUCUCCCAAGCCUGAAUGAUGACUCCCAGACUCCGGCCUGAGCUUCCUCCAUCAUCCAUGGCCUACUGGUCACUGGUUCCAGAAUCACCUCCAAUCAACGUGUUCCCAACAGGACUUCCUGAUCCUGCCACAGCAGCAUCAUUCUUCUGACCACCCAGGGUCAGUCUGAACUCCCCACUCUCCUUCAGCCCACAUGUCCACUCGUGCUCCCGCCCCUUGCCAUUUCUACCUCCAUACCUUCUCUGGGGGUGACACCUUCUCUCCACCCAUCCACUCCACUGAGCCCAGCCCUCAUCACCUCUAGCCUACAUCACUGCCACAGCCUCCCCCUGCAUCUCCCUGCCUCCAGUGGGCCUCCACACUGCUGCCGGUGCUGCGACUUAGAGCUGAUCUGACCACGUCACUCCCCUACCUGGCCCCAACCUACCCUUCCAGCUUCCCUCUCGGUGAUCCCCACACAUCUUCUCUCCUUCCCCCCCAUCCCAUCUGUGCAUUUGCCCUGCCAUCCUAUGUGCUGGAGUGCACCUGCCCUCCCCUCUGCCUCAGGGCCUCUCUCAUCCUCCAAGAUGCAGCUCGAACACCACCUUCAGCAGGAAACUUGUCCUGGUGCCCUCCCUCUCAGACCACCUUGUGUUUAUCUGCAGUGGACCUCCAACUUCUCCAGACUGGCCUAGUUCUGUUGAGGGCACCACCAUGUUUCCAAUGGCCCAGAUUCACCACCGCAGUGUCAAACUCUACUCCCAUGUCCCAUCAAUGGCCACAUCUUAGAACCCUCUCUCCUGUCUGUCCUCUUUUGUCCCCUCCCAUGGCCAGCCCCCUUGGUCAGCCUGCCCUGGACCGCUCCUAGAGCCCUCUGCUCAACUGGGCUGCCUGUCUCCCCACCAGGCAGGCUGCCAAGAUUUUCCUUAAGCACAGGUGGGACCAUGUCACCACUCUGCCCUCUCAAUAAAGUGCAAAAUGGCCCCAGCAACAAAUAGAAA